AGUGAACGCUGGCGGUAGGCCUAACACAUGCAAGUCGAACGGCAGCACAGUAAGCGCUUGCUCUUACGGGUGGCGAGUGGCGGACGGGUGAGGCAUACAUCAGCAUCUACUUUUUCGUGGGGGAUAACGUAGGGAAACUUACGCUACUACCGCAUACGACCUACGGCUGAAAGCAGUGGAGCUUCGGACCUUUCGCGUCUGAAUGAGCCGAUGUCGGAUUAGCUAGUUGGCGAGGUAAAGGCCCACCAAGGCAACGAUGCGUAGCUGACCUGAGAGGAUGAUCGGCCACACUGGAACUGAGACACGGUCCAGACUCCUACGGGAGGCAGCAGUAGGGAAUAUUCGGCAAUGGGCGAAAGCCUGACGGAGCAACGCCGCGUGAGUGAUGAAGGUCUUCGGAUCGUAAAGCUCUGUUAUUAGGGAAGAAAAAAUGUGUAAGUAAAUACGCACGUCUUGACGGUACCUAAUCAGAAAGCCACGGCUAACUUCGUG
rnacentral:rRNA from 1 species